GAUGAACGCUGGCGGCGUGCCUAAUACAUGCAAGUCGAGCGAACAGAUGAGGAGCUUGCUCCUCUGACGUUAGCGGCGGACGGGUGAGUAACACGUGGAUAACCUACCUAUAAGACUGGGAUAACUUCGGGAAACCGGAGCUAAUACCGGAUAAUAUAUUGAACCGCAUUGUUCAAUAGUGAAAGACGGUUUUGCUGUCACUUAUAGAUGGAUCCGCGCCGCAUUAGCUAGUUGGUAAGGUAACGGCUUACCAAGGCAACGAUGCGUAGCCGACUUGAGAGGGUGAUCGGCCACACGGGAACUGAGACACGGUCCAGACUCCUACGGGAGGCAGCAGUAGGGAAUCUGCGGCAAUGGGCGAAAGCCUGACGGAGCAACGCCGCGUGAGUGAUGAAGGUCUUCGGAUCGUAAAACUCUGUUAUUAGGGAAGAACAAAUGUGUAAGUAACUAUGCACGUCUUGACGGUACCUAAUCAGAAAGCCACGGCUAACUACGUG
rnacentral:rRNA from 1 species